GACGAACGCUGGCGGCGUGCCUAAUACAUGCAAGUCGAACGAGAGCGACCGGUGCUUGCACUGGUCAAUCUAGUGGCGAACGGGUGAGUAACACGUGGGUAACCUGCCCAUCAGAGGGGGAUAACAUCCGGAAACGGAUGCUAAAACCGCAUAGGUCUUCGAGCCGCAUGGCUUGAAGAGGAAAAGAGGCGCAAGCUUCUGCUGAUGGCUGGACCCGCGGUGCAUUAGCUAGUUGGUGAGGUAACGGCUCACCAAGGCCGGGAUACAUAGCCGACCUGAGAGGGUGGUUGGCCACCUUGGGACUGAGAAACGGCCCAAACUCCUACGGGAGGCAGCAGUAGGGAAUCUUCCGCAAUGGAGGCAAGUCUGACGGAGCAACGCCGCGUGAGUGAAGAAGGUUUUCGGAUCGUAAAACUCUGUUGUUAGUGAAGAACAAGUGCUAGAGUAACUGUUAGCGCCUUGACGGUAUCUAACCAGAAAGCCACGGCUAACUACGUG
rnacentral:rRNA from 1 species